AACUGAAAUAAGGGAAUUCUCAACUGUAGUUCAAACGAUCAUAAAAUUGUAAAUUUCAAAAAGGCAGCCUGGGGCCUGAAUGGGAUCAGAGCUGCUUGUUAGGGACAUAAGCAUCCACUGCUCUUUCUGCUGUAGCAGUAGACAUCAUGGAAGCAAGAAAAAACAAUGAACCCCAGCAGUGUAAGCAGUUAACACACAGCACCUAAGAGCAGGAAUCAGACAACAGGUUCUACACAGGAAGAAGUUGGGUCUUAUUUAAGCACCACAAGAUGGGUUUGUUCCAUUUUACAUUAAAGAAACAUGGGACGGGAGAAUGGAAGACUCUUUGAGAUCGUGUGAUUUUCAAUACUUUGAUGA